UUUGUGCUUUUACAAAAGAUACCCCACAGAGCUCCCUAGCCCCUUCAGCCAUGCAAGGACACAAAGAGAGGUCUGCAAGAGGAUGAGGACCUUCACCUGACCAGACUGGCACCCUGAUCUCAGGAGUUCCAUUCUCCAUAACUAAGAUACUGGUGGACACAAUGGUGAGCAAAAGAAAAUGCAACCAAUCCGUGUUGUCAGUCAAGGAGAGGAGACAGAUGUUAAUUAACUAAACCCAAGAAUCAAAUAAGCUUAGGUAUUGUAAGCAGGUAAAGCUGAUAAAGGACCAUGAAUUUGAGUGACACCCACUCCCCACUACCCCAGGACAUAAGACCCUUACUGGAUCUAACUGAAGACUCUUUUCUGAUUAAUGAUGAACAAAGAAUGGGUCUACUUGUUUUAACCAAUUAUGUAAAGACCUAUUGACUCAUUUUAUCCAAUCCACAGUGCUAGCUUUUGAUGCCUAAUUAGUAGGAACACUGUGUGUUCUUUCUGGUACUUUUGAGUGCCUGGCCCCAGCCAGGAUUUCUUGUUUCCUUGCCCGGCAAGAAAAUAUUUGGUUUUUAAGUUUUUAGCUUAAGUGUUUUUUGUUUGUUUUGACAGUAAGAUGUGGAGGAGAUGGGCCAUAUCAUAUUUGAAUCAGAUAAAAAAUCCUCGGGGCUCCUGGGUGGCUCAGACUGUUCAGUGUCUGACUUCAGCUCACGUUAUGAUCUCAAGGUUCAUGAGUUUGAGCCCUCCAUCAGGCUCUGUGCUGACAGCUUGGAGCCUGAAGCCUGCUUUGGAUUCUGUGUCUCUCUCUGUCUGCCCCUCCCCCACUAGCACU